rnacentral:rRNA from 1 species
UGGGGAAUAUUGGGCAAUGGGCGAAAGCCUGACCCAGCAACGCCGCGUGAAUGAUGAAGGCCUUCGGGUUGUAAAAUUCUUUGGACAGGGACGAAGAAAGUGACGGUACCUGUAGAACAAGCCACGGCUAACUACGUGCCAGCAGCCGCGGUAAUACGUAGGUGGCGAGCGUUAUCCGGAUUUACUGGGCGUAAAGGGCGUGUAGGCGGCUAGAUAAGUGUGAUGUUUAAAUCCAAGGCUUAACCUUGGGGUUCAUUACAAACUGUUUAGCUUGAGUGCUGGAGAGGUUAGUGGAAUUCCUAGUGUAGAGGUAAAAUGCGUGGAUAUUAGGAGGAAAACCGGUGGCGAAGUGGGCGAUCUGGACAGAAACAGACGCUGAGGCGCGAAAGCGUGGGGAGCAAACAGG